ACGCACGCUGGCGGCGUGCUUAACACCUGCAAGUCGAACGGAAAGGCCCUGCUUGCCGGGUGCUCGAGUGGCGAACGGGUGAGUAACACGUGGGUGAUCUGCCCCUUACUUUGGGAUAAGCCUGGGAAACUGGGUCUAAUACUGGAUAGGACCAUGCUGUAGGUGGUGUGGUGGAAAGAUUAGUUUCGGUAAGGGAUGAGCUCGCGGCCUAUCAGCUUGUUGGUGGGGUAAUGGCCUACCAAGGCGUCGACGGGUAGCCGGCCGGAGAGGGUGGACGGCCACAUUGGGACUGAGAUACGGCCCAGAAUCCUACGGGAGGCAGCAGUGGGGAAUAUUGCACAAUGGGCGCAAGCCUGAUGCAGCGACGCCGCGGGGGGGAUGACGGCCUUCGGGUUGUAAACUCCUUUCAGCCAUGACGAAGCCCUUGUGGUGACGGUAGUGGUAGAAGAAGCACCGGCUAACUACGUG
rnacentral:rRNA from 1 species